rnacentral:rRNA from 1 species
UUACCGGCUUGACAUACAGAAAUCUCUUCGGGACAGGUGGUGCAUGGUUGUCGUCAGCUCGUGUCGUGAGAUGUUGGGUUAAGUCCCGCAACGAGCGCAACCCUGCCUCAGUUGCCAUCAUAUGGGACUCUGGGGGACUGCCGGUGAUAAUCGGAGGAAGGUGGGGAUGACGUCAAAUCAUCAUGCCCCUUAUGCCGGGCUACACACGUACUACAAUGGACUACAUGGGGCACCGCGAGGGGAGCAAUCCCCAAAGUGCCCCAGUUCGGAUUGUAGGCUGAAACUCGCCUACAUGAAGUCGGAAUUGCUAGUAAUUGCAGUCAGCUAUGCAGUGAAUACGUUCCCGGGCCUUGUACACACCGCCCGUCACACCAUGAGAGUUUGAAACCGAA